GUUUAUCAAAAACAUGUCUUUUUGAAUUUAAUUUAAAGUCUAACCUGCCCACUGAANNNUUUUAAAUGGCCGCAGUAUUUUAACUGUGCAAAGGUAGCAUAAUCAUUAGUCUUUUAAUUGAAGGCUGGAAUGAAUGGUUGAAUGAGAUAUUAACUGUUUCAUAUAAAUUAAUAAUAAAAUUUUAUUUUUUAGUUAAAAAGCUAAAAUUUGAUUAAAAGACGAGAAGACCCUAUAAAUCUUUAUAUUUUAUUGGGGUGAUAUUAAAAUUUAAAUAACUUUUAAUUUAUAAAAUACAAAAAUUAUUGAAUUAUUGAUCCAUAAAUAAUGAUUAAGAAAUUAAGUUACUUUAGGGAUAACAGCGUAAUUUUUUUAGAGAGUUCAUAUUAAUAAAAAAGAUUGCGACCUCGAUGU
rnacentral:rRNA from 1 species